rnacentral:rRNA from 1 species
CAGUAGCCGCGGUAAUACGGAGGGUGCAAGCGUUAAUCGGAAUUACUGGGCGUAAAUCGCACGCAGGCGGUCUGACAAGUCAGAUGUGAAAUCCCCGGGCUUAACCUGGGAACUGCAUUUGAAACUGUCAGGCUGGAGUCUUGUAGAGGGGGGUAGAAUUCCAGGUGUAGCGGUGAAAUGCGUAGAGAUCUGGAGGAAUACCGGUGGCGAAGGCGGCCCCCUGGACAAAGACUGACGCUCAGGUGCGAAAGCGUGGGGAGCAAACAGGAUUAGAUACCCGCGUAGUCCCUGUCUCUUAUAC